rnacentral:rRNA from 1 species
UACAGAGGGUGCGAGCGUUAAUCGGAAUCACUGGGCGUAAAGCGACCGCAGGCGGUCUGACAAGUCGGAUGUGAAAGCCCUGGGCUCAACUCAGGAACUGCAUUCGAAACUGGCAGACUCGAGUACGGGAGAGGGGGGUGGAAUUCCUGGUGUAGGGGUGAAAUUCGUUGAUAUCAGGAGGAACACCGGCGGCGAAGGCGGCCCCCUGGCCCGCAACUGACGCUCAUGGUCGAAAGCGUGGGGAGCAAACAGG